UUGAAGACUGGUGGUGGACCCCCAGAAAGAACAGAGACCAAUGACCUGGGAGACAUGUUGACUGUGAUCAUUGAUAGCCAGCGAACCCUGGAAGGUAUCUCCGAUGAUGAUCAUAUGGACAGUUCAGACGGGGCACCAUUCCAAUCCUCAUUUGGUCAUCACCAGUGCUUGGAGGGCCUAAGACAGGAUGAAUGUCAGCCCACUACAUCUGCAGCAGCCAGGAGGGAAGAUGGAGGGAAGAUUUUGUUACCAAUUCAUGGCAAUUGUCUUCAAUAAUAAGAAAGAUCUGGGUCCUUCUCAUCAAUUUGAGCAUCUGGGCAGCCAUGCUGUUUGAAGUAAUUGUGAUGGACCGCUGUUACAAUUAUGACAAUACAGCAUCUUCUUGUGGUUGGAUUGAUUUCCUGCCUGUU